CUCCCUCUCUCUCUUCUCUUCUUCCUCUCUCUCCGUCUGUCUGUCCCUCUCUCUUUCUUUUCUCUCUCCUUCCUUUCCUUCAUUUCUCUCUUUUCCCUCCCUCCCUUCCUCUUUUUCCUUCUCUCUCCCUCCCUCUUUUUCCUUCUCUCUCCCUCUUUCUCUUCUCUCUCCUUUCCUCCCUUCUUUCCUCUCUCUUCCUCUGUCUCUCUCCUCACUUUCUCUUUUCUCCUUCCCUCCCUUCCUCUCUCUCUUCCUUUAUCUAUUUCCCUCUUCUCUCUUUCAUAGAGAGAACACACACAUCCACACACAUGUACAUGUCGCCUAAAUUGUAAAUUUCUCACAAGGACUAUUUUCCCCCUUUCUUUGAAUGCUGAUACCUAGCUGGGCACCAGAAUGCUUUUUGAUUUAAUGAUCCUCAAGUCUUUGAGCUCCCAUUUCCAGUCUCUUUCCAUAUGAUGCUCACACAGCAACACAUGAGCGUCUUCAAACAAACACAAUUUGGACUCAAAAACUAAAGGAAAGAAAAGAGCCAUUGGAAGAGGUGGAGAGAGAAAUGGUUCCAGCUGCUUCAAGGUCGCUCCUCCCACACCCAUUCUACCCCAGAAGGAGCCAAUUCAGAGAACUACAGGAUCCUGGGACUUCAGAGCUUAAAGGGACCUGAGAGCUCAAAAGAUCAUCCAUCUGGGCUCGGAAAGGGCCAGCUAGGUCAGCUAGUGGCAGAGCAAGGCCAGGAAGAGGACGGAUCAUUGACGGGGGAAUCAGAGGACUUGGCUUCAAAGCUUAACUCUGCCAAUUGCUAAAUAUGUGGCCUUGAGCAAAUUAUGUCUCCCUGUGCCUCAGUUUCCUCACUUGUUAAAUGAAAGAACUAAGUGACCGCUAAGGCUUCUUCUACCUCUAUGGGUCUCAGUUUCCUCACUAAAAUGAUUGUCUUGGACUAGUGGGUAUCUAAAGUUGCUUCCUAUUCUAUCUCCCUGGUCCCAGGGUGGGCCACAUCUCUUCAAAAACAUUCAAGCAGCUCAGUGUCUAGUGGAGAGAGGGCUAAGCUUGGAGUCAGCACGAUCUGAGUUCAAAUCCAGCCUCAGACACUUACUAGCUGUGUGAUCUUGUGAAAGUCACUGAACUUCUACUUGCCUGAUUUUCCCCAGCUAUAAAAUAGGGAUAAUAAUAAGUAUCCACCUCCCAAGCAUCAAAUGAAGUACUUUUUAACAUAAUAAGCAUUCUAUUUAAACGGUAGCUAUCAUUAUUCAUUGAUGCCUUUUUAACUUUAUAUUAAAAUACCAGACUCCUCCAGAUUGAACCAGCUUCAAUGAUGAAUAAUAGUGACUAAACAAAAACAUCUGAUCCAGAUACUCUCUAACUAGGGUUCUGUCUCUGGUUUAAGGGGGAAAAAAAAAUUAAGAACUUCCCUUUUCUCUCAUUUGGUUGGGUGGAGAUCAAAGGCCUCUGUUACAGAUAGUUAUCUAACUAAGAAUUAGCUACUCUCAGAUGUUCCCAAGAUCCUCUCUGACUGAGAACACAAAUAAAUUUGAGCUGGACUGAAGGCAUAAUACAGAGGAACAUCCUCCACCCACCUAACCUUAACCCCACCCAAUGCCUCUUUUUUUUUUUUUUUUAAAUGCAGAUCCUCCCCCAGAAAAAUGUGAUUACUUUGCAAUGGGGUGAGGGUGGGAGUGAGGAUGAGAGUUCUUAGUGAAUAAAAAUAAAUGAAUGCAAAAAAAAAUUUAUUAAGAGCAUAUUUAUUUCUUAAAAGGGGGGAGAAGGAGGGAGAGACUUAAACUCAAAAUUUUUAAAAAUAAAAAUAAUUGAGAAAAAAAUUCAAUUAACCAAAAACAUAUUUAAAGCAAGAUUGGAAGAGAGACAAAGCAGAACCUAAAAUGUAACCAGAAGGAAAAAAGGAAAAAACUCAGAGACCAUAUUUAACUGUCUCCCAAGUUUCAUCAUCUCUUCUCAGGAAGCUUCGAUGGUUUUUCCAUUACUCAAAGUUCAACUUCCUUUGAGUGAUUUUUUUUUCUCAUUUACAUUGUUACCAUCAUUGUAAUCUCCCCUUUAAACUAGCUUCCUCUUCCUCUCCCUUCAGCCCAGGACUGGGAAGUACAGUGCUCUCUGUUCCUCUAGCCCCUCCCCCCUGAUUGGCUACUUCCUCCCAGAAGCUCCAUUUUAAGGUGGACACUCGGGCCGCUCAGCCCCCUCCAGGCAAUGCUCCUGACUCUCCCGGACUUUCUCAAAGAGGCCCCCUCACCGGAUACCUUCAUCUCCACCCCUCCCCUCCCCCAGCUUCCUUGUUCGUGUUGCCCUCCCCCAUUAAAAAUGCAAGCCCCUACAGGGCUGCCCUGUCUUUCUAUUAGCCUUGGUAUUCUGAUCCUAUUUGCCCCCAGCCUAGCACACAGCAAGCACUUAAUAAAUGCCUCCUCCAGCUUUGAAAAGAAAGUAAGAGAAAAUAGUGGAGAGAAGCCAGGAAGUCGCUUGUGCUCCACCAGUUUCCCUUGGAAACUACAUUCAGCCAAGUCUCUGAACAGAUCCUGGAACAACAGAACCUACAAAAAACAGAAUGAAACAAUAAAUGCUUCCCCCUAAUCUCCCCAUAUGGGAACUGUAGCUUCUAUUUCCAAAGGUGGUCCAAUGGGAGAAGAGUAAAACAUGGAGGCCAGCCUUCCUUCACUAACUCAAGACUCGAGCUGCCAGAGAUCCUAAAGGACAUCCAGUUCAACCGCUCAUUUUACAGUUUAGGAAACUGAGGCAGACAGGGCUUAGUGACUUGUGCAGGGUCACCAGCUGGGAAGUGUCUGAGGCUGGAUUUGGGCUGAUUCCAAGCCUAGAACUCUAAAACCAGCUUAUUCUCUUCCCUUAUCAGGAAAUGCUAAAAAGAUCCCAUUCUGCAAUUAUCACCCAUAAUCACAUGUACAAAAGGGUUCAAAAAGGAGGCUAGUUCUCCCAGAUUGUCCUAUUAGUAUAGAAUAAAGUGAGGUCCAGAACUCAGCCUCACCUUUGAGAUCUUGAAUGGCAAAUCCAUAGACAGGUCUGAGACCUGAUCAGCCUGGUGGAUCCCACUUGGCUCCUACCUAAUCUUUAUCUCCCCCAAAUCCUCCCUAGAUCCUGGCUUUAAAAGUUGUGUUCCCCGAAAUCGCUCAUUCAGGAUGACUGCCUUCCCCAGCCUUGUCUGCCCUGUGCUGUGCACAUAAAAUAGCAAACCUUUGUAACCGGGGAUGGAGGUCUGCAUCAUAAUUUCUUUAUGCUGUGAACCAAAUCUAUGACACUAAUUUCACAUUUCCAGUUAUGCUCUCCCAAAUCUAUUUACCACUUCUCGUAACCUUUAUUACCAUCUCAUAUCCAUUGAGCCACCCAGCUGUUCAUCCAUUCCACAGGGUCUUUCAGCACUUUCCCCAUUCAAGGUGUCGGUACACAAGGAUAUUUAAAAUGGCUCAGGCCUUACCUUCUAGCAGCUCUCCCUCUGGAGUGGAGAAAAGAACUUAGCGCUGGAGAAAGGGCCGAUACAAGGUGCAGAAGGGCCGAAAGGGCUCUGGGAAGGAGGGCAAGAAUAUUCAGCUUUUCUAUCUAGAAAACGAGGGAGUCACAAAAAGAGACUUUCCUUGGAUGCUCUCUGAAGUCCCUUCCAUCCUAGAAGUCAAUGACUUUAUGAGUCUGUGAUUCAUCUUCCUCCUCAGAAGCUCAAACCACAUUAAAUCUCAUUUGAGCUCUGUCAGGUGCACCUGCUAACGAGGUUAAGCGAGCGCCUGGAGGCUGCCCGUGGCUGCUGGCACUGGGUUCCACGGGCUGGCGGGGCUGACUUCUGGGCCCGGCCAUUCCUUCCUUCUCUAAGCAGACACAGUUCUAGAAAGGCUCUAAAAAAGGAAGGAACGUAGCCCAAAGGUCCUAGGGAGGAGGUCUCCGCUUCCUUUAACCCCCUAACUCUCAAGUUCAUUGGCCAAGCCACCAGGAGGGGGAACUUCAUCCUUGUCCUUCAUCCUCUACCCUACAUGGCCGCCAUUUUGCCAACUGGAGCUCCCGCGCUUAGCCGAAGGCAUGAAGAUGAACAGCUAGGAGUAUGAUUGAAGUUGAAAAGAAUGUUCUAAGCCCAAGCUGGAGACCACUGGGGUGAGCAAGCCCCAGCCCAUCAAAUAGAAAAGGACAGAUUUCAAAUGGUUUUAGGCUUUCUUGUGGUCGGUUUCUAAAGCAUGGUUGACUGAGCUCUGCAUCUUCAGAGAGCUAAAGGUAUCUUAAAUAUACAAACCACAGGAGGUUUAGAGUUUCUUUCUCCCCUUGUUGAGAAAGAAGCUAUCAAGGGGAUUGCAUUAGCAAAGAGUAGCUUUUGUGGCAACACAACCACAAAAAGUGAGUAGCAUUGGUUUUCUUGGUAAUAUGUAUUUUUUUCAUGUUUUCUCUGGUUACACACUGGUGGUGUGGUGAUCUGUGGGAAGAGAUAUUUAUGGAAGAGAAAUCGUGUCAUUUA